rnacentral:ribozyme from 1 species
UGCCCAGCAACUCCUAUCCCUACCUCCUCGUGGUACCGGCCGGAAACUAUGAGCAACCUUAGGGAAGAUCGGGUAAUCAACCCCGGUGGGAACUUUGGUCAUAGGCUGACAGGGAAGG